CGAAAGCCUGACGGAGCAACGCCGCGUGAGGGAUGAAGGCCUCUGGGCUGUAAACCUCUUUUCUCAAGGAAGAAGAUCUGACGGUACUUGAGGAAUAAGCCACGGCUAAUUCCGUGCCAGCAGCCGCGGUAAUACGGGAGUGGCAAGCGUUAUCCGGAAUUAUUGGGCGUAAAGCGUCCGCAGGCGGUUCUGUAAGUCUGCCGUUAAAGCGUGGAGCUUAACUCCAUUUCGGCGGUGGAAACUGCAGGACUUGAGUGUGGUAGGGGCAGAGGGAAUUCCCGGUGUAGCGGUGAAAUGCGUAGAUAUCGGGAAGAACACCAGUGGCGAAAGCGCUCUGCUGGGCCAUAACUGACGCUCAUG
rnacentral:rRNA from 1 species